GAGACCUUUGGAUCUACCUCCAGGGUUGAAUGAAGCUGAACAAAAGGAAGUUAAAAAAUUUCUUAUGGGUGAGGAAAAAAAGAUCCCAACGCAUUCGGAGUAGGAUGCGGAAUACUAUGUCUUUACAAGUUACUGGAUCGAUUGGCAAAAAUAAAAUUAACCUAGAAAGGUUGUUUGAAGAGUAUACGGCUGAGAUGAGACGAGAAUCGAUCCCUAUCGGAAAAGAGAACGAUCUGGAAGAUAAGUUGUCUAAAGAUUUCGACGCAAGUUGCUCCUUCCUCAAGGACACAAAUAAGUGUGAAUUAGGCUUUAAGUAGAAUUAUGUUACGUAAUGCCAUGCCUAUUUUGCCAUGAGGUAACUAGUGCGGAAAUAAUGAAAUUAAAUAUUUUAAUGGGAAUUUACUUUACCUAAAUAUCCAUAACAACACUUUCUAUAAAAGCCAUGGUACUCCACAAAGUUGAAAUUAGAAAUGUUUUAUUGUCAAUUAGUGACUUUCUUGGCGAUAUUCGCUUAUGGCGCAUUCGCAUUAUUCAAAGAGAACCCUUUGGAUCUACCUCCAGGGUUGAAUGAAGCUGAACAAAAGGAAUAUACAAAAUGCCUGCUGGCUGCGGCAAAACAAAAUCCCAAAGCAUUCGGAGUGGGAUGCGGAAUACAAUGUUUUUUUCAAGUUACUGGAUCCAUUGGCGAAAAUAAAAUUAACCUAGAAAGGUUGUUUGAAGAGUAUUCGGCUGAGAUGAGACGAGACUCGAUCGCUAGUCGGUCGGACGCCAUCGAUCCAAAAGACGCAAAAAAAGAAAAGGAUCUGGAAGAUAAGUUGUUUAAAGACUUCAACGCAAGAUGCUCCUCCCUCAAGGACACAAAUAAGUGUGAAUUAGGCUCUAAGGUAGAAUCAUGUUUGAGGGACGCAAUUGAAAAAUUUUCAAUUUAAAAAGUGUAAAAACAAUGUACAAUAAAUAAAAAAAGAAAAAUUAAAAA